GGCAAUCAUAGCCCCUCAGUAUGUAUCUGUUCAAAGGAUGAAUGAAUAAAUAAAUGAGGAUCUAGUGGUUGCAAUGACUGUGACUUGGCAGGACCCAUAAAAAUGGAACUUAUGCUCAGAGCUAUAACAAGAGAGAUGAGAAGUUUAAAGACCCCGAGUCACUGAGCCACAGGACCCUCUAUAAUUAUUGACCAGAUCCGCUAGCCUGUGCACUACGAAGGAGAAAUGAUUAACCAGGACAUAUGUGCCCAGCGAAGUGCUUGGCAGUGUGGUGAAGACAGAGCAUCUGAAAAGCGUAUUUGUUCUCCAGAAGUUUGUUAUUUGGUGGUAAUAUCAGGUAUUUGUCUUAUUGUUGCAAAACAAAAGAAAACAGAACAAAACAAAGCAAAUCAAAACCUUGCAACAAGACUUGGGAACAAAGGGAUUAUUCUAGUUCAUAGUAUGGAAGUUUAGUCUCUCAUGGCAGGGCAGACAUAGCUACCGGAACCUAAUGGAGUUGGUCCCUUUGAAUCUCCAGAGAAU